UACAGAGGGGGCAAGCGUUGUUCGGAAUUACUGGGCGUAAAGGGCGCGUAGGCGGCCCGCUAAGUCGAACGUGAAAUCCCCGAGCUCAACUCGGGAACUGCGUCCGAUACUGGUGGGCUUGAAUCCGGGAGAGGGAUGCGGAAUUCCAGGUGUAGCGGUGAAAUGCGUAGAUAUCUGGAGGAACACCGGUGGCGAAGGCGGCCAUCGUCGGGACC
rnacentral:rRNA from 1 species